CUGACACACACAACUCUCUUUCUGAGUGAAAGUUCACCGGCCCUCUGCAUGUGUCUGCACAUGACUCGCAAAUGGAGAACGUGACUAGGUGAAUGAAUUUGGCAAGCGAUUGUGAGAGGGAGUGAAAGGAAAAGGAAAGACGUGAGACCGAAGCCCUGCCUUCUCAAAACAUUUGCUUAUUUAUACUUCCCAAGGCAUUUGCUGCUCAAAUCAAGAACCAGGAGGACACGGUGGUCGUGAAAAGGAUUAUUGGAUUACAUUUAUACUGCGACUGUGUGUAAGGACUUUAGAGAGCUGGGGCAAUUAAUCAUGGAAGAGAACUACAGCAGUCUACAAGAGUUCACAGAGGAUAGCCAGUCAUCCAGUAGAAACAAACCAAAACUCUUCACGUCACAGAAUGGACAAGCUGGUAUUUCUAAUAGGGUUGGGUGUAUAAGACGACAGAUGGUGAUUUUUCUGAUGGUCACACUGCUCAUUUCGUUUUGUGUUAACAUAGCACUGGCUGUUUUCUUGUUUAAACAGAAAGGCAGCAUUUCCCCUAAUGCUGCGACUUUAGAAAGUGCUCCCCCCAGGGAAGGCAUUCAGUCCCUGAAACUGUCAGCUCUGCAGGAGCGCUUCUCCCUCCUCUGCUAUGACUACACCAGCCUUGGCAAGACUUGUUCAACACAGGUGAAGCCUUGCAUGCCAUGUCCUGAUGGCUGGAGACAUACAGAGGGCAAGUGCUACUAUUUCAGCAAUGACAAACUGGACUGGAUCAGGAGCAAGGAGAGCUGUGCAUCUAUGGGCAGCCAUCUAACAAUUCUUCACACGCAUGAGCAACAUGUUGCUCUGGAGAAAAUUGCCCGCAGUUUAAGUGGGUUUGAUUACCAUUAUUGGAUAGGCCUGUCAGACCUCGAAGAAGAAGGAAAAUGGAAAUGGGUGGACAACACACUGGUCAAUAAUACGUACUGGAACGAUUGGGACGGAGAGCCCAAUAAUCACCAGUCUGGAGGGCUUCAUGGUGAGGACUGUGCCGUGCUGAAUUCUCACUCUAAAUCCUGGUACGACGUGCCCUGCGAAAACAUUUACAAACACAUCUGUGAGAUGGAUGCCAUCACUGUAAACUGAUUCACUGUGUUGUUAAAAAUACGAAAUGUAAAUGUAUUUUGAAAAACACUGAUUUUGUAUUUUAUUUUUUAGAAAACAAAGUGUUGUACCGUAUUAUAUAUGUCUGAAUGUGUUUUUUUGUACUUUUGUGUUUACUACAGAAAAAUUAAGUAAUCUGGCAGAGUUUUAGGUGUUCUGUAAAUAAAAGAUUGCAACACUUAAGUGAGAAGGACUUUGGACAGAUACGUUUGCAAAGUUAAAUUAAACGAUAGAUCAGUGUUUGGGUUGAUGGGAGUGUGUGUGUGUGUGUGUGUGUGUGUGUGUGUGUGUGUGUGUGUGUGUGUGUGUGUGUGUGUGUGUGUGUGUGUGUGUGUGUGUGUGUGUGUGUGUGUGUGUGUGUGGAAAAUAAAAGCAAUAAACCACACACUAGUUGUUCCAAGCGUCUCCAUUGCAGCCAAUACUCAGUACUUUUUUUUUCUUUUCUUCAAAACACCAUAAAUGGAUUUUUAUUUGUUCUUUUCUUAUACAUUGAAUCACACAGUACUUAAGGCAGUGCUACGUCAUAGAAAACUACGUCACCAAAAGUAAUCACAGCAUGUAUGUGAAGUUGAACUUUGAGUUCAUAAGACAAGGUUUUUGUUUGUUUUUUUGUUUUUUACCCAAAGUGCUUCAAAACUGACAUUUUUAACACAGAUUUUGAACUUGUCCCAUAUGAGAGAGAGGAAGAAGAAAUAAAACCCACAAUAAUA